AUACGUAGGGGGCGAGCGUUGUCCGGAAUUACUGGGCGUAAAGGGUGCGUAGGCGGCCCUUUAAGUCAGAUGUGAAAGCCCGCGGCUUAACCGCGGAACUGCAUUUGAAACUGGAGGGCUUGAGUGUCGGAGAGGGUAGUGGAAUUCCCAGUGUAGCGGUGAAAUGCGUAGAUAUUGGGAGGAACACCAGUGGCGAAGGCGACUACCUGGACGAUAACUGACGCUGAGGCACGAAAGCUAGGGGAGCAAACAGGAUUAGAUACCCUGGUAGUCCUAGCCGUAAACGAUGGGUACUAGGUGUAGGAGGUUUCGAUACCUUCUGUGCCGCAGCAAACGCAUUAAGUACCCCGCCUGGGGAGUACGUGCGCAAGCAUGAA
rnacentral:rRNA from 1 species